UUGCAACCAUUCACAGGCCACAUUCAAAUAGAUGCCUAUCAAUAGCAGCUGAUUCCUACAGUUGCCUUUUUUAUCCAGAGAUCAAACAGAAGAAGAAGAAAAAAAAAUCCUGUUUUCCAGCACAUCAAGAAAACCUAACCUCAGGAUAAAGAAAAAUUGGGACUUCUGGAUGAGAGGAAACCAUUCCUGCUACUUCAAAGGAGGGGAGCUGUCAGACCUGCCACAACUUAAACCUCUAAAUAGAAAUGACCCUUGGCUCCAUCAGCUGAGAAAGGCAGUAGAGAAACUCUUUCCUACUAUAAUGCAGAACACACCUGAAGAUUUUGCCAGCCGUUUCCUCCAUAUCAUGAACGUGACCUGACCCACCUGUUCCAAUUUUAGACUACUUCCCAUAUCCUCACUGCAAACAGACCACAUGUCUAGCAAAGCGCUCGAGAACCUUAUUGCAACAUCCUCUAUGAGGGAAAAACCAUCAGCAUUAACUUAGACAACUGGCUACUUGCAGGGUGUCAGGUAUGUUUCCUUCCGGGGUUCCCUGUCCUGUCUGAUCACGUUGUCCUGGGCUCCUAGCUGUCCCUUUCUAAAGCCUUCAAUGACAAAUCUCCAGUGUUUCCAUUUUUCAAGAGUUCACUGGAAUUUCAGCAUCCAUAUUAAGGCAACACAGUUCUCAACUAACUCAAACACAAAGCAGUGGCCAAUAAAUACAAAGUUUGAAUGCUUAAAAGACCGAUAUUCUAACCCAUGGGUUUAGUUAUUAUUCAGACUAUAUUUACAAAGAGAAAAAGAAGAAGAAGAGGUAGAAUCUUUGUACUAAAGCACUUCCUCUUUCAAUGCUGAGUUCGUCUGUAAUAAGCCGGGGAGUUCACAGAACAGGAAAUAUCAGUAUAUAAAAAUCUAAAAGCAGUAGCUAUUAUUGUAAUUCAGUAUGCUAACAACAUUUCCUUUGGGCCUACGCCAGCUUCAGUUCCUCCACAAGAAGUAAGGUGUGGACUCAGUGGUAGGAUUCAAAUAUGUGAACAACCGGUUCUCUGUGUGGAUGCUGCUUCCAGAAGUCCAUUCUGGGCCUGAGCAACAAAAAAAUUAGCUACUGGUUCUGCUGAAGUGGUGCGAACCAGCUGAAUCCCAGCACUGUGUGGACUAUAGCUAGAUGAGUAUAGUAGCUUGUCAAGCUGUUUUAAUGCUCAUCCUUAUUGCAAUUGGCUUUGUGGUGUUUAUAUUCUUCCAAACUAUUCCAAUUAUAAAAGUCAUUGCAUUUCUCUGAA